GACGAACGCUGGCGGCGUGCUUAACACAUGCAAGUCGAACGGUGACCCAGGGCUUGCCCUGGUGAUCAGUGGCGAACGGGUGAGUAACACGUGGGCAACCUGCCCCUGACUUCGGGAUAACUCCUCGAAAGAGGAGCUAAUACCGGAUACGACCACUUCGGACAUCCGAUGGUGGUGGAAAGUUUUUCGGUCAGGGAUGGGCCCGCGGCCUAUCAGCUAGUUGGUGGGGUAAUGGCCUACCAAGGCGACGACGGGUAGCCGGCCUGAGAGGGCGACCGGCCACACUGGGACUGAGACACGGCCCAGACUCCUACGGGAGGCAGCAGUGGGGAAUAUUGCGCAAUGGGCGAAAGCCUGACGCAGCGACGCCGCGUGAGGGAUGAAGGCCUUCGGGUUGUAAACC
rnacentral:rRNA from 1 species